rnacentral:rRNA from 1 species
GUGCCAGCCGCCGCGGUAAUACGUAGGUGGCAAGCGUUGUCCGGAUUUAUUGGGCGUAAAGCGAGCGCAGGCGGUUCUUUAAGUCUGAUGUGAAAGCCCCCGGCUCAACCGGGGAGGGUCAUUGGAAACUGGAGAACUUGAGUGCAGAAGAGGAGAGUGGAAUUCCACGUGUAGCGGUGAAAUGCGUAGAUAUGUGGAGGAACACCAGUGGCGAAGGCGACUCUCUGGUCUGUAACUGACGCUGAGGCUCGAAAGCGUGGGGAGCAAACAGGAUUAGAUACCCUGGUAGUCCACGCCGUAAACGAUGAGUGCUAAGUGUUGGAGGGUUUCCGCCCUUCAGUGCUGCAGCUAACGCAUUAAGCACUCCGCCUGGGGAGUACGGCCGCAAGGCUGAAACUCAAAUGAAUUGACGG